CUACGGGAGGCAGCAGUGAGGAAUAUUGCACAAUGGGGGGAACCCUGAUGCAGCAACGCCGCGUGGAGGAUGACGCAUUUCGGUGUGUAAACUCCUUUUAUAUGUCAAGAAAAUGACGGUAGCAUAUGAAUAAGCACCGGCUAACUCCGUGCCAGCAGCCGCGGUAAUACGGAGGGUGCAAGCGUUACUCGGAAUCACUGGGCGUAAAGGACGCGUAGGCGGGUUGGAAAGUCAGGUGUGAAAUCCUACAGCUUAACUGUAGAACUGCACUUUGAAACUUCUAAUCUAGAGUAUGGGAGGGGGAGAUGGAAUUAGUGGUGUAGGGGUAAAAUCCGUAGAUAUCACUAGGAAUACCUAAAGCGAAGGCGAUCUCCUGGAACAUUACUGACGCUAAGGCGUGAAAGCGUGGGGAGCAAACAGGAUUAGAUACCCGCGUAGUC
rnacentral:rRNA from 1 species